GAUGAACGCUGGCGGCGUGCCUAAUACAUGCAAGUCGAGCGAACAGAUGAGGAGCUUGCUCCUCUGACGUUAGCGGCGGACGGGUGAGUAACACGUGGAUAACCUACCUAUAAGACUGGGAUAACUUCGGGAAACCGGAGCUAAUACCGGAUAAUAUAUUUAACCGCAUGGUUCAAUAGUGAAAGACGGUUUUGCUGUCACUUAUAGAUGGAUCCGCGCCGCAUUAGCUAGUUGGUAAGGUAACGGCUUACCAAGGCAACGAUGAGUAGCCGACCUGAGAGGGUGAUCGGCCACACUGGAACUGAGACACGGUCCAGACUCCUACGGGAGGCAGCAGUAGGGAAUCUUCCGCAAUGGGCGAAAGCCUGACGGAGCAACGCCGCGUGAGUGAUGAAGGUCUUCGGAUCGUAAAACUCUGUUAUUAGGGAAGAACAAAUGUGUAAGUAACUAUGCACGUCUUGACGGUACCUAAUCAGAAAGCCACGGCUAACUACGUG
rnacentral:rRNA from 1 species